GAUUAUGAAGCCAGAACCUGGAAAUACCCGGUCCAGACAGCGACCCCAGGUAACAGAUGUCCCCAAAAGACUGAGGAUGUUGUGGGUCACAGCUUGGAGAUCUGUGUCCAUCCACAAGAGCCUUUGGGACAGUGGGAGAUAAAGGUGCUACUGAAGCGUUAUAUAACAUUUUCACCAUAACAAGAACCAUAGCAGAAUGUGGAGACAUGACAUGGUGGGUGUCAGACCUCCCCGGGUCAGGCUGCCUAUCUCCUGGCUUCACCAGAAGCCGUGAGCUACAGCAGGAUUCCCAUCUACACUGGAUCCAGCGUGCACGGAUCCCACACGUUUGCUGAGGUUCUGAGGUGGAAGGAGGGUGAUCAUGACCAAGGACUUCACUGGCAAAGAGGAAGCACAGAUGUGGAGCCAGCCCGGUCAGGACAGACUUCUUGGGCUUUGGGCAGCAGGAAAUGUCACAGGAGAUGGAGGAGGUAGAGAAAGGAGGGCUGGGCUUGGGCUUGGGUGGAAGUCCUUUGCCUGCUCCUUGCAGAGCUGGCUGGGGUAAGUGCUUGUGGCAUUUAGGCAGCUUUGCUUUGUAGACUAAUCAAUAGCCUGUGACAUUAAAAUGUUUGAGUACAAUAAGACA
rnacentral:lncRNA from 1 species